GUCCACUCACGCACCUCUUCCCCAGAUUUCCUUGUUCCUGAUCUUAUUCGGUGUCUCCACCACCAUCCCCCACCAUCUAAGGGCUGACAAAAUGCUGAUCUAUCAUCAUGGAACACGACACUGCAUGACCACAGAACCAAAGAGUACAUUUUACUCUCGAGCACGUAUGAACACAUUGGGCUCAAACCAAAGAUAGAUUGGUCUUCCAUGUACCUCGACACCAAGAGACAAUCAACCCGGUAAAAAAAAAAAAAAAAAAAAUGGGGGAAGGUCCUGGUGAAAUGUCAGCUAACAGGCUGGCUCAGGGACACUUUUCAGGGUUGGGACACUGGAGGUGGUAUAUGGACUGGAGUCUUUUUCCUUUCAGGCCUCAGAACGAUGAGCUGAGACAUUUGCUACUGACAAGGAGUCAGUACUUCCACACAGUAAGCCAAAAUACUGCUGGUAGCUUCUGCAUGCUGGGAGAAUCUCCUCUACCACUAUUUCCGGGGACCAUCUCGAAGCGGGGCUGUAACAUGCGAGCAGUCCAUUCGCGGCUAGAGUCAACACUGUAUUAAGGCUGCAAGAGCCAGGUCCACAUCCUAUUGAGUGACUCGAAGGGAUGCCAGUUUCAAGUGGUGCUCGGGGCAAAAGAGGGCUCCCAACAGGGGCAGACAAGCUUCUCCGCCCCUUAGGCUGCGUGACCGAGCAGAUCUUAGAGUACUAGAGGUAUCUGUGGCCAAUACUGACGCUGUGAGGUUUCUAACACGCUUCCAGAAGAGAGAUGGCAGCAAAGACCCCUGGAGUUCUGCAGAAGGCCUAGCGUUGAUUCUGGGCUCUCCCAGAGAUGAAGUGCCUGACCAUGGGACACAGAAUUGAGGGUAUGACCCCAGAUGUGCAUUAUGAUCUGAGUUUCAUCAGGUCCAAGGAGUCAUAGGCCAGGUGGGUACAGCCAGCAGUCAUCCACCGUACAAUAAAAAGGAUACAUUCACGAUUUGGCCCAACCAAACCCAGACGACACAAGGACACGACACGAACAGGUGGCCCGGACUCCCACGGCACCUACUGCUUUUAAACCAACACGUCUCUCAACAGAGCAACGAUAAAGAAGGUCGGUGGCUUUCCUUCCCAUGUAAAGAACUGUUUUGGACCUCUGUAUUGUUAGGGAUAAAGAAAGAAAGAAUUUGCCAUAGCAGCAGCCCCAUAUCGAGUGUCGGAGAUACCACAAGUGACAGAGCAGCUGUGUGGCAGUUGGGGCUACCACGUGAUUCCGUUUACAAGAACCCACCCCCCUUCUCCAAGACGCGUCUGGCUUUUACAAAGGCUGGAAAUGUUCAUUGGACAGAGAUGUGAUGGGAACUGCUAUCCCUAUAUCCUUUCUUUCUUCAAGAGUAACACUGAUCUGUAAUCCCUCUCAAAAUGCUGUAUUGCUUCGGAUUUACUAUGUUGGCCAGGAUAAAGGAUAGUUUCCACAUGGCCCUUCCUAUCAAAUGGACUUUUACCCUAUCAGCCAGGGAACCGAUACAAAGAAUCUGCUAAGGAUGUGCAUUUCAUGUAUGCAUUGUGGUCCGUUUUCAUUGGGAACCAGAGAAAUAAACAAGGGGUUGGGUCCUUAGACUUUCCUCCCAGUGUACAGUUACAACAGGUCUCUUUGGGGGAAAGACUGGAGAACCAUCUACUAUGUAUACUUGAAAUGGCAUCACAGGAUCCUUCUUCAGGGGGAUCCAAUCCCCCCUCCUAUGGCUUAAGGGUUUGUGGACGUGACUGGUGGGGACUGAGUCCGGGACAGGUAUUUUCCAUUGUGGCUGCUGAAAUUAGCCUUCUGCUUUCCAGUGCUCCAUACUUCCUCAUUAUAAAAACUUGAGAACACUCUGGUUCAUCUGCCUCACCACUAGGAACACCAUGAUCUGUUAGCCAAUGCCCUGUAGAUCAAGGCACGCUGAAUGCCACUCUGGCCUUCCUGUCAAUUAUAGUAAUAAUGCCUCUUGCCUCUGAUGUUAAGUGCUGCCACGUGGCUUUUGCCAUUCCAGAAUCCCCCUGUUCCUACUGGAAUUAGAAAGCCUAGUUCCACGGUAACAUCUUCCACUGUCAACUGGCCUUCAAAGAUGCCGGUGGACCUCUCACAAGGGAGAUCUCUAUUGCUCUACUGAGCGAACCAUUGUCUGUGUCCUCCGGAAGUAGAGUCAGAUGAUAGGUUUUCAGGUCUUACGUGAAGCAUCAGGAGGCGACGCAGGCGAACUCUGGUCAGGAAGCAAGGCGAAUGACGGAGGCCUGGAGUGACGGGGGCUUGACCAGGAAGGCAUUCUGUGGCUACAUUUUUUACCUGCCCUCUCAGGGAGGAAUGAGGGCAUCUGGUUCUCAGAAAACAACUCCACGCCUCAUAUAUUAUGGAAGAGUAUGUAACGGGAACGGAUGACGGACCUGAGGGGAUUUCAGGGCUGGAAUGUGCUGGAUACGCCUUCGGUACUUCCUCAGACCCUCCUGACUUCACCUGCUUUAUCAGAUUCUGCUGGCUUCACCUGCAACCUGGGCCCCAAGCUGAUUGCUCUCUCUUGGUCAUCAUGCCUCUCUCUCAUAGGUUGAAACCCAGUCCCGCGUGUGAUGGCAUUUGGUGAUGAGGCCUUUGGGAGCCCUCACGAAUGGGACCAGCGCCCCAUAAAAAGAGAUGCCAGAGAGACGAUCUCGCUCUCCACCACGUGAGGUCACAGCAAGAAGGUGGCCAUCUGCAAACCAGGAGGGGGGGUCAUCACCAGGACGUGACCAUGCUGGCACCCUCCUGAUCUUGGACUCCCCACCUUCCAAAACCAUGGGAAAUAAAUUCCUGUUGUUUAAGCCA